rnacentral:rRNA from 1 species
UACGUAGGGUGCAAGCGUUGUCCGGAAUUAUUGGGCGUAAAGAGCUCGUAGGCGGCUUGUCGCGUCGGCUGUGAAAACCUGGGGGCUCAACCCCGGGCCUGCAGCCGAUACGGGCAAGCUAGAAUUCGGUAGGGGAGACUGGAAUUCCUGGUGUAGCGGUGAAAUGCGCAGAUAUCAGGAGGAACACCGGUGGCGAAGGCGGGUCUCUGGGCCGAUAUUGACGCUGAGGAGCGAAAGCGUGGGGAGCGAACAGG